rnacentral:tRNA from 1 species
GGCGAAGUGGCGGAACUGGCAGACGCACCAGACUCAAAAUCUGGCGCACUUCACUGUGCGUGUGGGUUCGACCCCCACCUUCGCCACCA